rnacentral:rRNA from 1 species
AGAGUUUGAUCAUGGCUCAGGAUGAACGCUAGCUACAGGCUUAACACAUGCAAGUCGAGGGGCAGCAUUUCAGUUUUGCUUGCAAACUGGAGAUGGCGACCGGCGCACGGGUGAGUAACACGUAUCCAACCUGCCGAUAACUCGGGGAUAGCCUUUCGAAAGAAAGAUUAAUACCCGAUGGUAUAAUCAGACCGCAUGGUCUUGUUAUUAAAGAAUUUCGGUUAUCGAUGGGGAUGCGUUCCAUUAGGCAGUUGGUGAGGUAACGGCCCACCAAGGCAACGAUCAGUAGGGGUUCUGAGAGGAAGGUCCCCCACAUUGGAACUGAGACACGGUCCAAACUCCUACGGGAGGGAGCA